CUCAGCCUUUGGGUGGACUCCUCAGGUGAAUCGAUCUGCGGACGGCGCGGCUCCGGAAUGCAGGUGUGUGUGUGUCAGGUGUUGCGGGGUCACGCGUUCACCACCUGGAAGGGAGAGGAACAGCCUCCGUGGUCCAGUGGUCAGCGUGCCUGGCAACGACUCUACGGGCCCUGGUUCGUAUUCCGGUCCGGGCGGUUGGCGUGAUACUCACCCAGCUGUUCAUCCUCUCUUUUGGGCUGGUCGAUAAAUGGGUACCUGGGGAAGCCUGGAGAAGGUAAACUGUGGCAACCCGGAUAUCCCAUUGGCCCGUGUCCCCGGGUUAUUGGUCAUUACCUACCACACCCAUCUCCGCAUUGUUGGCCAAACAGUUCGGAGGUGAGCACCGCAGCCACGCGCAGCUAUAGCAUAUGCAUCCACCUUUACCUUACCUUUUAUUAAAUAUCACAUCUGUCCUUUGCUUUCAUUUGC